rnacentral:rRNA from 1 species
AGUGGCAGACGGGUGAGUAACGUGUAGGUAUCUUCCCUUUGGCCUGGAAUAACACGAGGAAACUUGUGCUAAUACUGGAUAAGUCUUUACGGAGAAAGCUUUAUGCACCAUUGGAUGAGCCUGCACUUGAUUAGUUUGUUGGUAGGGUAAUGGCCUACCAAGACUGUGAUCAAUAGCUGAUUUGAGAGGAUGAUCAGCCACAUUGGGACUGAGACACGGCCCAAACUCCUACGGGAGGCAGCAGUGGGGAAUAUUGCACAAUGGAGGAAACUCUGAUGCAGCGAUGCCGCGUGAGUGAAGAAGGCCCUUGGGUUGUAAAGCUCUUUCGUCGGGGAAGAAAAUGACUGUACCCGAAUAAGAAGGUCCGGCUAACUUCGUGCCAGCAGCCGCGGUAAUACGAAGGGACCUAGCGUAGUUCGGAAUUACUGGGCCUAAAGAGUUCGUAGGUGGUUGAAAAAGUUGGUGGUGAAAUCCCAGAGCUUAACUCUGGAACUGCCAUCAAAACUUUUCAGCUAGAGUAUGAUAGAGGAAAGCAGAAUUUCUAGUGUAGAGGUGAAAUUCGUAGAUAUUAGAAAGAAUACCAAUUGCGAAGGCAGCUUUCUGGAUCAUUACUGACACUGAGGAACGAAAGCAUGGGUAGCGAAGAGGAUUAGAUACCCUCGUAGUCCAUGCCGUAAACGAUGUGUGUUAGACGUUGGAAAUUUAUUUUCCGUGUCGCAGCGAAAGCGAUAAACACACCGCCUGGGGAGUAC